rnacentral:rRNA from 1 species
GACGAACGCUGGCGGCGUGCCUAAUACAUGCAAGUAGAACGCUGAAGGAGGAGCUUGCUCUUCUGGAUGAGUUGCGAACGGGUGAGUAACGCGUAGGUAACCUGCCUGGUAGCGGGGGAUAACUAUUGGAAACGAUAGCUAAUACCGCAUAAGAGUAGAUGUCGCAUGACAUUUGCUUAAAAGGUGCAAUUGCAUCACUACCAGAUGGACCUGCGUUGUAUUAGCUAGUUGGUGAGGUAACGGCUCACCAAGGCAACGAUACAUAGCCGACCUGAGAGGGUGAUCGGCCACACUGGGACUGAGACACGGCCCAGACUCCUACGGGAGGCAGCAGUAGGGAAUCUUCGGCAAUGGACGGAAGUCUGACCGAGCAACGCCUCGUGAGUGAAGAAGGUUUUCGGAUCGUAAAGCUCUGUUGUAAGAGAAGAACGAGUGUGAGAGUGGAAAGUUCACACUGUGACGGUAUCUUAUCAGAAAGGGACGGCUUACUACGUGCCAGCUGCCGCGGUAAUACGUAGGUCCCGAGCGUUGUCCGGAUUUAUUGGGCGUAAGGCGAGCGCAUGCGGUUAGAUGAGGCUGAAGUAAAGGCUGUGGCUUAACCGUAGUACGCUUGGAAACUGUUUAACUUGAUUGCGUGAGGGGAGAUUGGAAUUUCGUGUGUUGUUGUGUAUAUGCUUUGAUUAUUGAGGAAUACCUGGUUAUGAAUGUGUGUUUGGUUGUGUCUGAUGUUUGGGUGUGUGCUGGGGGGAUGUAUUGUGUGGUGUUCUGUUUGUCGAUGUUUGAUUUCUAGGUGUUAUGUGUUGUUGCGUUCUGUCUGUGUUGUGUGUGAAAAGCAGAAAAACAAAAAUUGUGUGCGGAGGGUGUGUUAGUUAGUAGGUGUGUAUGUGUGUGCUC